GGGGGCAGCAGGCGAUGGCGGCGGUGGCAGGUCGGCUGGGCUGGUUGCUCGCCGCGGUCUGCCUGGGCAACGCCGCGGGGGAGGCAGCGCCUUGUCCGCGAGUGCUGGGCUUCUGUCUGGAGGAGGACGGAGCUGCGGGCGCGGGGUGGGAGCGCGGAGGGGCGGUGCGGACCGGCCCCGAGGCCACCUUCCGCCUGCGCCUCUUCGGCCGGGGCUUCGCCAACAGCUCCUGGUCCUGGGUCGCCCCCGAGGGGGCGGGCUGCCCCGAGGGCGGGCCGGCCGCGGUGCCCGAGGAGGCGGUGGCCCCCACGGGCGAGUGGCGCGCCCUGCUGCGCCUGCGCGGUGAGGCUGUGUGCCCGCACUCGGCGCUGCUGGCGGUGCGCGUGGAGCCGGGCGGCGGGGCGGCCGAGGAGGCGGCGCCGCCCUGGGCGCUGGGCCUGGGGGCGGCCGGGCUGCUGGCGCUGGCGGCGCUGGCGCGGGGCCUGCAGCUGAGCGCGCUGGCGCUGGCGCCGGCCGAGGUGCAGGUGCUGCGCGAGAGCGGCUCGGAGGCGGAGCGUGCGGCGGCGCGGCGCCUGGAGCCCGCGCGGCGCUGGGCGGCCUGCGCCCUGGGCGCGCUGCUGCUGCUGGCCAGUCUGGCACAGGCGGCGCUGGCGGUGCUGCUGUACCGCGCGGCCGGCCAGCGCGCUGUGCCCGCCGUGCUGGGCAGCGCGGGGCUCGUAUUCCUGGUAGGCGAGGUGGUGCCGGCCGCCGUGAGCGGGCGCUGGGCGCUGGCGCUGGCGCCGCGCGCGCUCAGCCUCAGCCGCCUGGCCGUGCUGCUCACCCUGCCGGUGGCGCUGCCCGUGGGGCAGCUGCUGGAGCUGGCGGCGCGGCCCGGGCGGCUGCGCGAGCGCGUACUGGAGCUGGCGCGCGGCGGCGGCGACCCCUACAACGACCUCAGCAAGGGCGUGCUGCGCUGCCGGACCGUGGAGGACGUGCUCACGCCGCUCGAAGACUGCUUUAUGCUGGACGCCAGCGCGGUGCUGGACUUCGGCGUCCUGGCCAGUAUCAUGCAGAGCGGCUACACGCGCAUUCCGGUGUACGAGGAGGAACGCUCCAACAUCGUGGACAUGUUGUACCUCAAGGACUUGGCCUUCGUGGACCCCGAGGACUGCACGCCGCUCAGCACCAUCACCCGCUUCUACAACCACCCACUCCAUUUCGUCUUCAAUGACACCAAGCUGGAUGCCGUCCUGGAGGAGUUCAAACGAGGGAAGUCCCACCUGGCCAUCGUGCAGAAGGUGAACAACGAGGGCGAGGGCGACCCCUUCUACGAGGUCCUGGGCCUGGUCACCCUGGAGGACGUCAUUGAGGAGAUCAUCAAGUCCGAGAUCCUGGACGAGUCUGAAGACUAUCGAGACGGCGUGGUGAGGAAGAAACCUGUCUCUCUCAUCGCCCCUCUCAAGCGGAAGGAGGAAUUCUCCUUGUUUAAGGUGUCUGACGAUGAAUAUAAAGUAAAAAUCUCACCUCAGCUGCUCUUGGCCACCCAGCGCUUCCUUUCCCGAGAAGUGGAUGUAUUCAGCCCCCUGCGAAUCUCCGAGAAGGUCCUGCUGCACCUGCUUAAGCAUCCCAGUGUCAAUCAGGAGGUGAAGUUUGACGAGAGCGACCGCCUGGCCGCACACCAUUACCUGUACCAGCGCAGCCAGCCGGUGGAUUACUUCAUUCUCAUCUUGCAGGGCAGGGUUGAGGUGGAGAUCGGGAAAGAGGGCCUGAAGUUCGAGAAUGGGGCCUUCACCUACUAUGGAGUAUCUGCCCUGACAGUGCCAUCCUCCGUUCACCAGUCGCCAGUGUCCUCACUCCAGCCCAUCCGCCAUGACCUGCAGCCAGAGCCAGCCGACGGUACCCGCUCUUCUGCGUAUUGUCCUGACUACACCGUGAGAGCACUCUCCGACCUGCAGCUCAUUAAGGUUACCCGGCUGCAGUACCUCAACGCACUCCUGGCGACGCGAGCCCACAACGUGCCGCAGUCCCCUGAGAACACCGACCUCCAGGUCAUCCCAGGCAGCCAGACCAAGCUCCUCAGUGAGAAGACCACUGCUGCGGCAGCCUUCCCAGUAGACCUUUCCCUCUUUGGCACAUUUGGAAACUGCAGUUGAUAAGUGACUGUGGACUAGUGAGCAUUUUUUGUUUUAAGAGCACACCCAAGGGUCCAACCACAGCUGGCCGGGCGUCCCAGUGGAGGAGAGCCCUGGGCGGAACCCAGGAGUUUAACUGCUUGCCAGGCAGCCCCGGAUAUGGGGAGCGGACAAGCAUGUGGGGAGCUGGAGGGAACUGAGCAGAAGCUUUGUGCCAGCCUGCCCCCACUCCUCCAGGCCACGUUUUAGAUGGCCCUUGUAGAUGUGGGUCCUGGGCAUCCUCAGAAUCGGGCAUCAGUGCCUAGCACCUUCAGCCGGCCCCGCCCUUCUUUAGGAGGUAGGGUCAGCAAGGCACAGCCCUCCAGGCCUGCUUGUUCUGGAAGGACCGAAAGGAAUAGCAUCAUCUCUAGUCCCCAGGGCCCAGCCUUCCCUGCUCCCCUGAGGCUGUGACAGUGCAGUGUAUUUAUACCUCUUCGGGCCAAGCCACCAAGUGAGUGCACAGUUACUGCCUUUAUGUGGCCGUGACCUGUACUCACUUUGCUUUUUGCCAAUCUUCUGCUGCUGGCAGCACUUUUUGAACAGAGAACACCAGAUUUGGCUGGGGGUUCAAAUCCAUGCCCUCACCCUUGGUGUGCUGUCUGGGUUCCCUGACAAUGCCACAUUUCAGAGCACGCACCCCAGCCUCUCCCCUGUGCCAAGCCAGAAGCACGGUUACCCACCAGUCUGUCCCUCUGGUCCUGCUCCCUCCUGUGGAGGUUGAUUUUUUGACCCCUUCCAGGGCCCCGAGAGAGUUGGCUCUGGUGGCGCCGAGGGGCCUGCUCCCUUGCCUGCCAUGCUGAGUUGCCACUAGCAGUAUUGUCGGUUUCUGUGUUCUAAGAGGUCAUGCCUGGGAGGAAAGGACCUUCUUGCUGCAUCUGAUCCUUUCUUCCUCGUGUGACCCCAGAAGAGAGUAUUGCCUGUUAGAUCUGCUUCGUGCCUUUCCCACAGGCCUCCGUGGAGGUGCUACGUGGCUGUAGCGUGCAGAGCAGCAGGGAGCGGGGACUGUUUAUGAACCAGGUGGACCCUCGUUACCUUUCUUUAAAAAAAAAAAUAAGUUUUUCUUAUAUCUCUAAAACAUUUCAAGUGCUUUGCCUUUUUUCUGUUCCUAGCUACUGGGUUUUAGAGAAGUGGGAAUGAGAAGGCAUUUGUCUUUUUCUUCUAAUUUACUUGUAUUUUCCUUCCACAGUUCUUUAGCUAUGUGGAAACUAGGGUAUCACAGGGACAUAGGAUCAUAGAUUGGGGAGGGAGGAGGAUUUCUGGAACUUUUCUUAAAGGAAUUUGGGCCCUUAUAAAUGGGACUGAAGGCCACAGGAACAGUGGUAUGCUUGUUCAAAAAUUGUCCUCAAGGAGUGCACUCUAAGAGCAAACCCAGGUGGGAAACAAAUACUUUGAAAUCGUCUCUCCAGAACAGUGGUUCUUAACCUUGGCUACACAUCGGAAUCACCUGGCAAAUUAAAACACUGAUGCCUGGGCCUGUCCCCAGGGCAUCUGAUUUAAUCAGCCUGGGCAUCAGGAUUUUAUUAUAUUUUCAGAAUGUUUUUAGAUUCACUGAAGGGUUUCAUACACCUUUCACCUAGCUUCCCCUAAUGUUAACAUAACCUUGGUAUAUUUAUCAAAACUAAAAAAUUAACAUUGGUGCAAUGAUACAUGAUACUGUUAAGUAAACUACAGACUUAAUUUGGAUUUUACCUUUUUUGUUUCCAAUAAUAUCCUUUUGCAGGAUCCAAUCCAGGAUAUCAAGUUGCAGUUAGAACUAUUGCUUUUUUCCCUAACUUUAGAUUUUAAAAUAAUUAGAUUCAUAGGAAGUUGCAAAGAUAGAGGUCCCAUGGACUGUUCGUUCAGGCUCCCUCAAUGGUUAUAUCUUACGUAAUUAGAAUACAGUAUCAGAACCAAAACUUUGACCUCUGUGCAAUGUGGUUGUAUAGUUCUACAUCAUUUUGUCACAUGCACAUUUAUGUAACUACUGUAACAAUCCAUACAGAACUGUCUCAUCACCACUGAGAUCUCCCUUGGACUACCCCUUUAGACCCCUCCCCCACCACCCCUUCCCCCUGGAAACCACUGAUCUGAUCAUCUCCAUUAUUUUGACAUUUCAAGAAUAUUGUAUAAAUGGAAUCAUACAGUAUGUAACCAUUUGGGAUUGGCUUUUUUUCACUCGGCAUAAUUCUCUGGAGAUUCAUCCAGGUUGUUUCAUGUUGUCAGUAGAUCAUUCCUUUUUACUGCCCCGUGGUAUCCAUGGUAUGCUCGUCCCGAUGAAGGACAUCUGGAUUGUUUCCAGUUUUUGGUUAUUUCAAAUAAAGCUGCUGUGAACAUUCGUGUA